rnacentral:rRNA from 1 species
AUUGAACGCUGGCGGCAGGCUUAACACAUGCAAGUCGAGCGGGGGAAGGUAGCUUGCUACCGGACCCAGCGGCGGACGGGUGAGUAAUGCUUGGGAAUCUGCCUAUUAGUGGGGGACAACGUCUCGAAAGGGAUGCUAAUACCGCAUACGUCCUACGGGAGAAAGCAGGGGAUCUUCGGACCUUGCGCUAAUAGAUGAGCCUAAGUCGGAUUAGCUAGUUGGUGGGGUAAGGCCUACCAAGGCGACGAUCUGUAGCGGGUCUGAGAGGAUGAUCCGCCACACUGGGACUGAGACACGGCCCAGACUCCUACGGGAGGCAGCAGUGGGGAAUAUUGGACAAUGGGGGGAACCCUGAUCCAGCCAUGCCGCGUGUGUGAAGAAGGCCUUAUGGUUGUAAAGCACUUUAAGCGAGGAGGAGGCUACUUUAGUUAAUACCUAGAGAUAGUGGACGUUACUCGCAGAAUAAGCACCGGCUAACUCUGUGCCAGCAGCCGCCGUAA